UGGGGAAUAUUGGACAAUGGGCGAAAGCCUGAUCCAGCCAUGCCGCGUGUGUGAAGAAGGCCUUUUGGUUGUAAAGCACUUUAAGUGGGGAGGAAAAGCUUGUGGUUAAUACCCAUAAGCCCUGACGUUACCCACAGAAUAAGCACCGGCUAACUCUGUGCCAGCAGCCGCGGUAAUACAGAGGGUGCAAGCGUUAAUCGGAAUUACUGGGCGUAAAGCGCGCGUAGGUGGUUAUUUAAGUCAGAUGUGAAAGCCCCGGGCUUAACCUGGGAACUGCAUCUGAUACUGGAUAACUAGAGUAGGUGAGAGGGGGGUAGAAUUCCAGGUGUAGCGGUGAAAUGCGUAGAGAUCUGGAGGAAUACCGAUGGCGAAGGCAGCUCCCUGGCAUCAUACUGACACUGAGGUGCGAAAGCGUGGGUAGCAAACAGGAUUAGAUACCCUGGUAGUCCACGCCGUAAACGAUGUCUACCAGUCGUUGGGUCUUUUAAAGACUUAGUGACGCAGUUAACGCAAUAAGUAGACCGCCUGGGGAGUACGGCCGCAAGGUUA
rnacentral:rRNA from 1 species